GCUUGAGGCCAUACCCCUCUGAAAAUGCCUGAUCUCGUCUGAUCUCGGAAGCUAAGCAGGGUUGGCUUGGUUAGUAAUUGGAGGGGAGGCAGCCUGGGAAUAACGGUUGCUUGUGCU
rnacentral:rRNA from 1 species